rnacentral:rRNA from 1 species
GACGAACGCUGGCGGCGUGCUUAACACAUGCAAGUCGAACGAAAAUACCAAGCUUGCUUGGUUGAUUAGUGGCGAACGGGUGAGUAACACGUGAGUAACCUGCCCCUUACUUUCCUGGAUAACUGCUCGAAAGGGUAGCUAAUACGGGAUAUUCUGACCAGCCUGCAUGGGUUGGUUUGGAAAGGUUGUUUUUCUGGUAAGGGAUGGGCUCGCGGCCUAUCAGCUUGUUGGUGGGGUGAUGGCCUACCAAGGCUUUGACGGGUAGCCGGCCUGAGAGGGUGGACGGUCACACUGGGACUGCGGUACGGCCCAGACUCCUACGGGAGGCAGCAGUGGGGAAUAUUGCACAAUGGGCGCAAGCCUGAUGCAGCGACGCCGCGUGAGGGAUGAAGGCCUUCGGGUUGUAAACCUCUUUCGGCAGGGAACAAGGCACUGCUUUUUUGGUGGUGUUGAGGGUACCUGGAGAAGAAGCGCCGGCUAACUACGUG